rnacentral:rRNA from 1 species
CAGACCGUAAACUAUGCGCGUUAGGUGUAUCGGUGACCACGAGUUACCGAGGUGCCGAAGGGAAACCGUGAAACGUGCCGCCUGGGAAGUACGGUCGCAAGGCUGAAACUUAAAGGAAUUGGGCGGGGGAGCACCACAACAGGUGGAGCCUGCGGUUUAAUUGGACUCAACGCCGGGAAGCUCACCGGAUAGGACAGCAGAAUGAUUGCCGGGCUGAAGACCCUGCAUGACUAGCUGAGAGGAGGUGCAUGGCGUCAGUGACU